UGGUCUUGACAUCCCUUUGACCGCUCUUUAAUCGGAGCUUUCCUUCGGGACAGAGGAGACAGGUGGUGCAUGGUUGUCGUCAGCUCGUGUCGUGAGAUGUUGGGUUAAGCCCCGCAACGAGCGCAACCCCUAUCUUUAGUAGCCAGCAUUUAAGGUGGGCACUCUAGAGAGACUGCCAGGGAUAACCUGGAGGAAGGUGGGGAUGACGUCAAAUCAUCAUGCCCCUUAUGACCAGGGCUACACACGUGCUACAAUGGCGUAAACAAAGGGAAGCGAGCCCGCGAGGGGGAGCAAAUCCCAAAAAUAACGUCUCAGUUCGGAUUGUAGUCUGCAACUCGACUACAUGAAGCUGGAAUCGCUAGUAAUCGCGAAUCAGAAUGUCGCGGUGAAUACGUUCCCGGGUCUUGUACACACCG
rnacentral:rRNA from 1 species